GACAGAGGAGCCAAGCGUUGUCCGGAUUGACUGGGCGUAAAGCGCACGCAGGCGGCCGUGCACGUGGGGUGUGAAAGCGCUCGGCUUAACUGAGCGAUGCCACCUCAUACGGCAGGGCUCGAGCCCGUGAGAGGUCCACGGAAUUGCCGGUGUAGUGGUGAAAUGCGUAGAGAUCCGGAGGAACACCAGCGGCGAAGGCGGCAUCCUGGACUGGUCCUGACACUCAGGAGCGAAAGCGUGGGGAGCGAGCCGG
rnacentral:rRNA from 1 species